CGGGCAAUAACUCAGUGGUAGAGCUCCCGCUUCCUAUGCGGGAACACCUGGGUUCGAUUCCCGGCUGCUUGC
rfam:Toxocara canis scaffold474, whole genome shotgun sequence.